CCUUAACCUGCUAAAUAGUUAGGCCAACGUUUGUUGGUCGUCAACUUCUUAGAGGGACUAUUGACUAUUAGUCAAUGGAAGUUUGAGGCAAUAACAGGUCUGUGAUGCCCUUAGAUGUUCUGGGCCGCACGCGCGCUACACUGAUCAAGUCAACGAGUUUACAACCUUGGCCGGAAGGUCUGGGUAAUCUUUUGAAACUUGAUCGUGCUGGGGAUAGUCCAUUGCAAUUAUUGGACUUCAACGAGGAAUUCCUAGUAAGCGUGAGUCAUCAGCUCGCGUUGAUUACGUCCCUGCCCUUUGUACACACCGCCCGUCGCUACUACCGAUUGAAUGGCUUAAUGAGGCAUCUGGAUUGGUCUUUUGUAGCUGGCAACAGCAACGAGAGACUGAGAAGUUUUCCAAAUUUGGUCAUUUAGAGGAAGUAAAAGUCG
rnacentral:rRNA from 1 species